GCCACAUGAUGAUAUCAAGGCUGUUGUGAUUCAGUUGGUUUGGCUAAGCCCAGGGACCUUUGACCUAUUAAGGUCUGUAAUCUUGGUGGGCGAUACAGAGUUAUGUGCAUUCACUGUAAGGGCAGACCAACAAGAACUUUUUCCUAUUUUUGAACUACCUCUUUUUAAUAGUGGUGAUUCUUCCAGUUGCUAGGGAGAAAUUGUGGUAACUGGAGUGAGAGAGUAGGAACAAGGCAUGUUCGGGGUAUCAGGGUCAGGGAUCCCAAAAAGGACUUAGCUUGUGUUAUGGCCACUGAGAGAUGAAACACAGAUCUUUGGUAAUCUGAUGGCU